CACCAUGCAGCGGGGCAGCCUCUUCCUGCUGCUGGGGAUCCUCGCCCUCUGGGCCGCGCUUCAGCCUGCGUCUGGGCAGUUCAUUCCAGGGAAGCCCGGGAAGUGCCCUCCUGACUACAUCCGGUGCAUCCAUGCCGAGCCGAAUGAGUGCCUCCACGACCACCAGUGCAGGGGAUGGCUGAAAUGCUGCUACUCACGAUGUGCCUACCGCUGCGUGGCACCUCUGCCAGGCCAAGCCUGAGGAGGAGGCAUUGCAGGGAGCAGGUCUGAUGCUGCCCAGCAGGACGGCAAGGAGGACCCUCCUAUCCUCGACCUGGACCCAAGAGCUCUUCCGUGCUCCUCCUUCAGUCUCACACCCACUUUCUGCAUCACCCUGCAUUGCCCUGAACCCAGCCCCAGCCCUGGGUUUGCUCCUCUUCGUGUCUGCCCGCAGCGGCACCAGGGGUUGUGCCCAGGGCCCGCUCUCUACCCCCUGCGCUCCCACUGCAGACGCUUCUCAAUAAAGAUGCUCCUUCCUGCA